rnacentral:rRNA from 1 species
CAGGACGAACGCUGGCGGCGUGCCUAACACAUGCAAGUCGAGCGAGGAGAUUCCUCGGGAUGAUCCUAGCGGCGGACGGGUGAGUAACACGUGGGCAACCUGCCUCAUAGAGAGGAAUAGCCUUCCGAAAGGGAGAUUAAUACCUCAUAACAUUGCAGUUUCGCAUGGAACAGCAAUUAAAGGAGUAAUCCGCUAUGAGAUGGGCCCGCGGCGCAUUAGCUAGUUGGUGAGGUAAUGGCUCACCAAGGCGACGAUGCGUAGCCGACCUGAGAGGGUGAUCGGCCACAUUGGGACUGAGACACGGCCCAGACUCCUACGGGAGGCAGCAGUGGGGAAUAUUGCACAAUGGGGGAAACCCUGAUGCAGCCAACGCCGCGUGAGUGAUGACGGCCUUCGGGUUGUAAAGCUCUGUCUUCAGGGACGAUAAUGACGGUACCUGAGGAGGAAGCCACGGCUAACUACGUGCCAGCAGCAGC